rnacentral:rRNA from 1 species
ACGUCGCAAGACCAAAGAGGGGGACCUUCGGGCCUCUUGCCAUCAGAUGUGCCCAGAUGGGAUUAGCUAGUAGUGGGGUAAUGGCUCACCAAGGCGACGAUCCCUAGCUGGUCUGAAAGGAUGAUCAGCCACACUGGGACUGAGACACGGCCAGACUCCUACGGGAGGCAGCAGUGGGGAAUAUUUGCACAAUGGGCGCAAGCCUGAUGCAGCCAUGCCGCGUGUAUGAAGAAGGCCUUCGGGUUGUAAAGUACUUUCAGUCGGGAGGAAGGUGGUAAGGUUAAUAACCUUAUCAAUUGACGUUACCGACAGGAAGAAGCACCGGUUAACUCCGUGCCAGGCAGCCGCGGUCACUGCCGGAGGGUGCAAGCGUUUAUCCNGGGAUUCAAUCGGNACUUUAAACAGGGAUCCGUAAGGCGGAAUACUGUAAAGUCAAGAUUGCGUGAAAUCUUGCAAAAAGUGUNUUUGAAACCUUAGGGNCUGAAAAAAACUUCGGGCCCCAAUUUUCGGGAGAUUACAACUCGGCCCAACGGGGUCNCCACUUUGGACAACNUGGGCUUCGGGCCUCGAAAACCAGAUAUUACACGCCCUCNUGGGGUA